CUCUGCAUUGUGGGACUCAUGGGGAGACCCCCGCUAGGAGGCUAAAACCAGCCUCCCAUCUUUGGGGGGGUCUCCCCAGGAUGCCCUGUGCACUCACGUGGGGCCUCCUGGGACUUCCGGGGGCCAGGUGGCCCCCAAUCCCCGCCACUCCUACCAGCUCUGUGACAGAGCCGGUAGUUGUGUGGGUGGCCAAUCCAGCCUCCCAGGGAUAGCUCCCUGCUCGUCUGCGGGGAGAGUGGAGAGCCUCAAUGUUUCUACAUAAAGGUUGUCUAAACCUUUUCACUCCAUUGUGCUCUAGAGCACACCCACCUAGGAAUGAACAGGACAAAAUGUAUUAUUUUGUCCACCACAGUUGUUUUCCUAUUCUGCAACGAGGUAUGGACCACAUUUGGCCCCAAGGCAAAUUUGUACCACAAACCCCACAAGCAGUGUGCUUCUUCUCCAGAUUCACCCAUUGCAUGUACAUACAUCUGGGUACCACCAGCCAUUCCAUCUGGAUGUGCCUUGGUCCACAUGUCCAUCCCGCUUGCAACCUCCGUUUGGCCCUGUCUCCUGGCCCAAUCUGUGUAGCAUGGUCAGUUGCAUCAGAGAACUGGUCUCCUAGGAUCAGACCACCUUUAGAUUCUUACUGGCUUCCUGACUCGUGAGUGGCAAGAAGGUCUCCACUCUUGCAUCCUGUUUUCCUGCUCGUCCCUAGGGAGAGGUCUCUCAGCGCACACUGAGCAACAAGUGUCCAACACACCACUGGAAGGAUACAGCAAUUUUGUUCUCCUCCAUAAAGUGAGGGAAUUGGCAUUUGGGCAUGUUGUCUGUAGCAGCGCUGCUGGGCUUCUCCAUCUCAGGACCACUUGCAGACUGGGAGCCAUCCAUCUGGGAGACGGUCGCAGAAUUCAUUGCUAUAUUGAUUGCUGGGCCUCCCCCAAUUGUGGUGGGAAGAGAAGGUAUGCCACCACUCUGGAUCACAGAGAUCUCAUUGGUCUUCAUGGCCAAGCCAUUGCUGAACACUGCUGCGUACUGGUUCCAUGCUGCAGGAUCGAGGUUAACUGAUGGAGGCAUGACAUCCUUGGGAAACAUCUCCGAUACUUUCUUUGGAUCACUGCUGAGAAGAGCCAUGGGGUUGUCAAUGGACAGUCUUCUUCCACGUCGGGCUGAGUUGUUCCACAUAUGCGUUCCAACAUGGACCUUACAGAAAAAGAGCAUCAGAAAGAAUCAGCUUAUUUUUCCACAGAUAUUGAUCUUGCAACUUUCAACACACACACACACAGAGCGCGCCGUGGAUACCAUACUUUCUCUUAGCCAAAAGGCUGAGAAACUAUGGAAGCUGCAAAUAAAACAUUCAAUUUCAAAUGGGAAGAUCUGGCUUUAAAUUCACAAAGCUCCUGCAGUGUCUUUCUCAAACUGCCCAACUCUCAGCACAACUGUGACCCUCCAGUCAAAUAAAGUCAGAAAGAUAAGCUGAUUUUUGGACUACGACACCCAGCAUUGCUAGCCACGAUGGUCAGUAAUCAAGGAUGAUGGGAGUUGUAGGCCAACAUCUGCAGGAGGGUCAGAGUUGUGCAGCCCUGGCUUAACCUAUCUCAUAGCAAAGGUUUGUUUGUAAAGAUCCUUCUACUCCUUGGAAGAGAGGAUGGGGGUAUAGCUGUGACAGAUAGGAGGCAAGGAGGGAAUGAUACAGCCUGAUUCACAGAAUGAGAGAGAGGAACGCGUUCUCAUUUAGACUGCUUUCUGCUUCUUUUAACACGGCAACCGUAACGAUCAGCUCUCCCCUCCUCUAAAGAGCAAACCGGAAGUGAACCCUGUGCUAACUGAUAGGCAGUGACCUCUGGGGAUCUCAGCACAUGGUGACCGGGACCUAGAGGGUCUGGCGGCGGGAUGGGAAGGGUGGGGGUCCUAGUUAGAGCCAGGCAGGGCAAACAAUAGGUUGGCUGGCCAGGCAAUAGCAGCAACCAAGAUGACUGCAGGGGCUUGAAGUCUCUACCUUGGAUUUGGUGAGUUCAGGAAAGAAGCCAGAGCUUCUGGGCUUCUGAAGGGUUUAGCAAGAGAACAGUUUGUUAGAGCAUGUUAAGAUUUCUUUCUUUUUGUGCUAUACAAAUCCUUAAAUGGUUUAUUAUGUUUUUUAUUUGUAACAAAUUAAGCCAAACUGAGCCAAUGUUCUUUUCCAACUAGGGCAUUGUAAAAGUCUCUGUAAACUCUCAAGGGGGAUUUUUUGAAUUUUCUUGCAUUUAUGUUCUAUGCAACUGGGUAACCAUGAUUUUAAAAGUGUGCCACCCCAAUAUUAUCUGAGGGUGCUUUUUGAAGUAUUAUUGUAGUUACUGAGUGUUCCUUUUACCUGUAACUUAAAGCUGAGAGAGCCUCAGA